UUGGGUACGCCAGACAGAACAUCGCACAGCUGAGUUCAAGUUCUACUUCUCUUGCGUUCACAGCCACUUAUAUCUUCUUCAGUUAUUCCUACCUGACAUGGUUUCUGGACCAGCCGGGCUCCGUUUGUCUUUGUGUGUGUGUGUUGUAUGUUCCUGAGGGAGUGUGUAUACAGGUUGAAGCCGUUGUCCAACGUCUGGUGUUCUCCUUGGUCACGCUCCAUCUCAUGUUCGGAGAUGAGGUCUCUCAUUGGGUCUGGAGCUCACCCGUUGAGCUGGGCCAGCUGACCAGAUGUCUGCCAGUCUCUGUGCUCCCCCUCCUCCGCCAGACCAGGGCUGCAGCUGUGAGCCCCCGCACCCAGCUCUGCACAGUGCCACUGCUGAUCAAGAGUUUUAAAUGACAA